rnacentral:lncRNA from 1 species
GAAUUGAUUUACUGGGGUGUUAAAACGAAAAUCUGAAAUUCAGUCUUACUGAUGCGGUGUUAAUGGAGCAAUCUGAUUUCAUUGACAGUUUGUCAUUGCUUUUUGGCAGAAGAACUUCCAGAAUUUUCUCUUUUUGUGUGUGUGUGGUUGAACAAACACAUCUGAAGUGUAGUUGAGGGGCAUGUUUUAAAGAAUGGACUCUGCAAUUCAUUGUGAUGGUUUAGGUGUGUACACACACUUGAAACUUUCUGAGGAAAGUUCUUGAAUAGUACCUUCCUUUUGGAGUUAGAAUUUGAAGUUUAACAUGCAUAACUUUGAAAAUUUAGAACAUGUUGUAGGAGACGUUCCUCAGAAAUUAAUGACAAAGUGAUAAUGGUUUUAAAAACUUGAAUGACAAGUGAUGAGAAUAUAUAUAACUUGCAUGAUUUGGGGGUACCGCUAAGAGUAAUUAAAAUACCUCAUUCUAUUUCUAGCGCUGCUAUUAGUAGCUUAGUGAUCUGAGGCAAAUUACUUGACCUUUGUGGACUCUAUUUCUUACCUGUAAAAUGAACGAUUUAGAGAUGACUUAAAGAUUUCUCCAAACUGUAAAAAACGAAUUGCUUUCUUUUUAUUCUCCUCCUCAUUUUAA